CCUAAAUCAAAUGAGAAAAAGGAGGAAUGGCUGCAGCUUGAUCUUUGAGGCUAUCAAAGCUCUCAGCAAUGAUUGUCGAGGCUACCAUCGGAAGUGUCCCGACGACUGCCGUCAAUUUGCUGUAGGACUAUCAUCACCGGGAUCCAAUUGCUAGCUUUAUCAUGUAAUGGUUGGACCAACUUCAACCAAAACCAACAAAAUAUGCUUCAAUUCAACACAAUAUUGGAAUAACUUACCUGGGAUUCAAUAACCCAGACUGUAAAUAUUUACUUGAAUGAGCUGGAACUACACGAAACAGAUAAAAGGGAAAAUAGAGAGAGAGAGAGAAUAAGCGGGAGGGAGAUGUGAUAGAACCUGAAAACAUCCAACUACUCCCCCUACUCCUUCCCUCCCUCAGCUAAGUAAAGUAAAAGUCGUGUUUCCUUAACCAAAAAUGUAUUACAAUAUAAAAUAUAAAAUCAAACGGUGUCGUCUCUUGAUUUGAAUCACCAUUACUACCGUUUACUCCUUAAUUUCUUCUUUCCCCACUUAACUCGUGUAAUUUGUUCCUCUUGGUCUAUAGGUGAGAUGUGUUCUUCAUCACCAUCAUGACAUAACUCUCCCUCAAAAUGACUUGUCCCCUAGGUUGAAAUAAAGGAAACUAAUCCUGAGUUGCAGCUGCAUCUUUCCACGUAGCCUCAUUCUUGUCAUAGCCUCUCCACUGAAUAAGCCAUUAUGUAACUGCCUAGUUAUUUCUCUUGAUAAUUCUAGUUUGCAACACUGUUACGGGCUCCCUGUGGAUCAUUUCAUGUUCUCUACCCUCUAGUAGUAACAAGAUAGGCACUUCAUGUUUUCCUAUCUUUUUCAUAAGCAAGGAUACACGGAACACUGGGUAUAUUUUUGAAGUAGGGGAUAGGGCCAGUUCAUACGCUACCUGUCCAACCUUUCUGGUGAUCUGGUAAGGUCCAUAGUAUUUAGUAGCCAGCUUCUGAUUGGUCCUUGAUAUAACCGAAUGUUUCUUAUAAGGAUGUAACUUCAAAUACACCCAAUCACCCACUUCAAACUCCCUUUCCACCAUGUGCUUGUCAGCAUAGAAUGUCAUCCUUGCUCGAGCUUGAGCAAGGUACUCCUUUAGAUGCAGGUCCAUUUGAUGUCUCUCUUGCACUAGUUCUUCUACCGUAGCCACAUUGGUUUGCUGAUAAGGGCCUAGUGCCAAAUGGGGUGGUUUAAUACCAUAUAGGGCUUUAAAAAGGCUCAUCUUAAUUAUUGUGUGGUAAGUAGUAUUGUACCACCAUUUAGCCAGGGAUAACAAGUCAAACCAUCUCCUAGGUUGGUGAAAUGUUGUGCACCUCAAAUACAUUUCCAAACACUGGUUAAGCCUCUCAGUUUGCCCAUCUGUCUGUGGAUAGUAUGCAGAACUCAUGUGUAGUUUAGUUCCCAUCAAUUUGAAUAGCUCCUGCCAAAACCCACUAGUGGAAAUCUUGUCUCUGUCUGACAUAAUAAUUUGAGGCAUUCCAUGGAGCUUAUAUAUGUUAUCAAGGAAGAGUUUAGCUACUGUGCUAGCAGAGAAGGGAUGAGACAGGGCAAUGAAAUGCCUAUACUUAGUAAACCGAUCCACUACCACUAGGAUAAUUGAUUUUCCUUUUAAAAAGUUAAAAAGGGUAGGCCUUCAAUAAAAUCCAUGGAUAUGUGAUUCCGUGAAUAAUGUGGUUCAAGCAGAGGUUGUAGGAAACCAGGGUAGGGAACAUGUUUCACUUUGCAUUUUUGAUAGACAUCACAUUGAAGUAUCUCUCUCUUGAUAUCUCUAAUCGUCCCCGACCAAUAGAAGUGUUGUUUAGCCCUGAAUACACUAGCUUGAAUACCAGAGUGACCUCCAUUUUGGGAAGAAUGGAUAUUUUGAAUCAACUUAGCCUUAAUCUGACCUCCCGUUCCCACAUAUAACUUGCAUUUAAAUUUGAGUAACCCAUUGCUGUAUGAAAGUUUAGAGUCUUCAUUGGGCUUGACUAGCAAUUCCUUAAUCUGAUUUGCAGCCACCUCAUCAUCUUGGUAGCUGUCUAUUACUUCUUGAAUCCAGAUGUGUGUUACAUUAGAAAUUGCUGCCACUUCAACUAUGAUUCAUUUCUUCUGGAUAGCUCAUCAGCUACCACAUUAUCCAUCCCUUUCUUGUAUUGAAUCUCAUAGCUGAGGCCUAACAAUUUAGUCAAACAUUUCUUUUAAUGAUAAAAUGGUGCCCUUCCAGAUAAUGUCUCCACUUUUCCAUUGCAGUAACUAGUGCUAGAAGCUCCUUAUUUCUCAUUGCAGAUUCCUUUACUAAAGUAGGCAAUUGGUCUUGUAUUUUACAUUAAGACAACUCUCAUACCUCCAUGGCAAGCAUCAGUUUCAAUGAUAUAAGCUUGAUUAAAAUCUGGUAAUGCUAAAACUGGGGUGUUAUACAUUGUCGAUUUCAACUUCUGGAAAGCCAUAUCUGCGGCCUCAUCCCAUUUGAAGUUAUCAACCUUCAACAGAUCAGUCAAGUGUUUUGCAAGGACCCCAUAACCUUUAACAAACUUUCUAUGGUAUCCCAUCAAUCCUAGAAAUCCCCUUAGUUGCUUGAUGUUAAUAGGCUUAGGCCACUGCUGCAUGGCACUAAUUUUUGCUGGAUCUGCUAUCACUCCUACUGCCAAUAUAAUAUGACCCAAAUAUUCCACCUUGGACUAGCCAAAUGAACAUUUAGUCCAGUUAACAUAUAGCUUAUGCUUCUUUAAAAGUUCCAGUACUCUAGAUAAGUGUCUACAAUGGGAACUCAGAUCAGGGCUAUAGACUAGUAUGUCAUCAAAGAAAACUAACACAAACUUCCUCAAAUGCUCCCUGAAAACUUCAUUCAUCACGCAUUGGAAUGUGGCUGGGGCAUUUGUGAGUCCAAAUGGCAUAACCUUGAAUUCAUACAGGCUUUGGUGUGUUUUAAAUGCUGUCUUAUGAAUGUCAGAUUCAGCUAUUUUGAUUUGAUGAUAUCUAGCCCUCAGGUCAAUCUUGGAAAACCAUUUAGAACCCUACAAUUCAUCAAUCAAUUCAUCAAUUAAAGGUAUGGGAUGUUUAUCCUUGAGAGUGAGGCUAUUUAGUUGCCUAUAAUCCACGUAGAAUCUCCAUGUUUUUUAACCAAUAACACAAAGGAGGCAUAGGAGCUAUUACAUGGUUGGAUGAUCCUGGUUUCCAACAUCUCUUUUACCAUCUUCUCCAUUUUCGUCUUCUGCAUGUAUGGGUACAUGUAGGGCCUUAUUCUGAAAGGUUGAGCCCCUUCCUUAAGUGGAAUUUUGUGUUCAUUGAACCUAGGUGGUGGCAUACCCAUUGGCUCUUCAAAUACUUAUGGGUAAUGUUUAAUGAAUUCCUGUAUCACCUCAGGAUAUGAUUCCUGGUCGACUUCAUUAAGUGAAUAGAUUUAAGCCAUGAUUCCAUAUGAUUGUCUCUGGAUCUAUUGAGUCAUUUGUUCUCUUUCCAUCACUAUAAAUUCUUCUUUUCCCAAUUCGGUCUUUAACUCAACCUCGAUUCCCUUGUAGCAAAAUCUGAGGCUGCUCUGUACAAAAUCAAACAUGAUUAGGUUAAAUUGGCUCAACCAAUCCACUCCUAAUACCAUGUCACUGCCCCCCAACUUCAACACUCUCAAUUGGAAUUGACACUUCAAUCUCUGCAUGGUCCAGGUAAGUGCGUUGCACAUUGCACUAUUAUUCAAUUUAUCUCCAUUUGCCACAGUGAUUGUCACAGGUGAAGUAACUUCCACUUUACACCUUAACUCCUUUAUUAGUUUCUCAUCGAUGAAGCUAUGAGUGCUUUCGCUAUCAAUGAGGAUGGAUAUCGUCCUCUUCUUUAUUUGCCCUGGUAUCCUAAUUGUCUUAGGUUUCAUACUCCGAGAAAGAGCAUAGAUAGAAAUCUCCAUGACUUCCUCCCUCUUACAGAUUUCCAAUUUACUUUUCUCUUCCUUAUCUGAUUCUACCACCUCUUCAUCAUCAACUAACACGAAAUUCAACAUCCUUUUUUGCAUAUGCGCCCUGUAGCAUACUUUUCAUCACACUUAAAGCACAGACCCAACCUCCUCUUAGUUUGAAUGUCAGUAGGGGUUAUAGUUUUGAACUUCAAUGGGAGGUUUUUUUUGCUGGGUUCAUAAGCGGGGCUAGGGAGUAUUUAGAAAUAUUUUCAGGAGGUUUUGGAGAAAUGUUAGACCAUUUGGCUUGGUAAGUGGGCUUAGUUUGGGAUUUGGAAGUUUUAUUUAAGGGUACAAUGUUGUUUUCCUGUAAAAGAGCUAUCUCAGAAGCUGGGGUUGGUUUCAUAAUUUUAACCAUGGAUUUGAUCUCCUAUCUCAACCCACUGGUGAAUAUCGAAAUGUAGUAUGAUUCUAGGAGGUGGGGUAAUGAAAGCAUAACUUGUGAUUUUAGAUCUUCAAAUAAUUCUUGAUAUUCAGCCACACUUCUUUUCUGUCUGAUUUUACUGAAGGUUUCAACAACUUCUUCUGUAGUUGAUUCACAAACCGUCUGUAUAUCUCUAUUGAGAAUAAAUCCUAGUCUGCCAUGGGAUUGCUAUUAAUAAACCCAUAGAACCACACAUUUGUUCUCUCCUUUAGGUACAUUUCUGCAAUACUGGUCCUAAAUUCAUCAAGAACAUGGUGGAUUUGAAAAUACUUUUGUACCUUUCGCAGCCCCUCCCUAGGGCCUUUUCUAUUGAAAUGUGUAAAAUCGAUCUUGGGUAUCUUAACUCCUGUUCUCCAGUCACUCUGUCCACCCUUGCCUUCCGGUGUUACUCCUAUUUUUGGCGUGAAUAUUCCUUCAUUGAUUGUGGAUUGUACAGAGGAUCCAACUUUCUGUUUCUCCUUAGACUCUCCCUUUUGUCCACUCCAAUUUUCCAUCAUUGCUACUAUAGAUUCAUACUUAGAGUUCAUCUUUUUCAUUAAAACCUCCAUUCGAUCCUAUCUAUUGCACAAAUUAUGUAAGGUCUGAUCUGACCUUUCCACCUUCAUUCCCAUAUCUUUAAAAGCUUCUCCCAAAUCUUCGACAUCCCUGUCCAAUUUCUUGAGAUGCUCCUCUACUGCCUUGGCCCUAGUAUCCAUACCCAGAAUUUUACUGAUCUGAUACCACUUGUAAUGGUUGGACCAACUUCAACCAAAACCAACAAAAUAUGCUUCAAUUCAACACAAUAUUGGAAUAACUUAUCUGGGAUUCAAUGACCCAGACUGUAAAUAUUUACUUCAAUGAGUUGGAAUUAUACCAGAUAGAUAGAAGGGAAAAGAGAAAGAGAGAAUAAGGGGAGGGAUAUGUGAUAGAACCUGACAACAUCCAACUACUCCUGCUAUUCCUUCCGUUCCC
rnacentral:lncRNA from 1 species